rnacentral:rRNA from 1 species
UACGGAGGGUGCAAGCGUUAUCCGGAAUCACUGGGUUUAAAGGGUGCGUAGGCGGCGAGGUAAGUCAGUAGUGAAAUUCCCCGGCUCAACCGGUGGGACUGCGAUUGAUACUGCUUUGCUUGAAACAGGUUGAGGUAAGCGGAAUGUGGCAUGUAGCGGUGAAAUGCAUAGAUAUGCCAUAGAACACCGAUUGCGAAGGCAGCUUGCUGGGCCUGACUUGACGCUGAGGCACGAAAGCGUGGGGAGCAAACAGG